UUGACCUCGGAUCAGGCAGGAGUA
rnacentral:rRNA from 1 species